GUGGAUUAUUAACAUAAUAUUUUAAAUAUGUGAAUUGUGAUGUGAAAUGUAAAUGGCAGGAAAAAAGAAGCGCCAAGCCAAACUCUCUGAUUUUAUACCCAACUGAAUUCCUUAACAUAAGUUGGUUAGAAUUAGGAUAAACGUCAUUUUUGCACCCCCCAUGCACCUCUGUUGACCAGAGCCUGGGGGGGGGAGGUGCGCCCCCCCCCCCUAAAUCCACCACUGGAAUGUUUGAAGUACGCUUACCGUUAUUCCAUUCGAACUUUGUUCUUGCAUCUUCUCCUUUGCUUUCUUUUUCAUUUCUUUAAGGUUUAAAUUUUCUUCGCCAAAAUCGAUUUGAAGUAGUUUGACUUCUAUCAUUUCGCUUAUGCUUUUAAUUUCAUCGAUGUUACUUGUGUGCGGUAUGUCGUGUGUAAGACAACUUAUGGUCGCUGGUCUUCU